GCUAGGUGCAGUGGCACAGGCCUGUAAUCCCAGCUGUUGAGGAGGCUGAGGUGGGAGGAUCACUCGAGCCCAGGAGCUCUGGGAUGUAGUGGGCUGUGCCAGUCACUAAGUUUGGCAUCAAUAUGAUGACCUUCAGAUGUGGGGUGGUGGUGACUGGGGACCACCAGGUUGUCUGAGGAGGUGUGAACUGGCUCAGGUCUGAAUGGAGUAGGUCAAAACUCCGUGGUGGUCAAUAGUUGGAUUGUGCCUGUGAAUAGCCACUGCGUCCUAGCUUGAGCAACAUAGUGAGAUCCUGCCU
rnacentral:SRP_RNA from 10 species